GACGAACGCUGGCGGCGUGCCUAAUACAUGCAAGUAGGACGCAGUUGCGAACGGGUGAGUAACGCGUAGGUAACUACCUAUUAGAGGGGGCUAACUAUUGGAAACGAUAGCUAAUACCGCAUACUAGUAGAUGGACCUGCGUUGUAUUAGCUAGUAGGUCGGGUAAUGGGCUACCUAGGCAACGAUACAUAGCCGCCCUGGGAGGGUGAUCGGGCACAAGUGGACAGAGACACGGCCCCAGAUCCUUCGGGAGGCAGCAGUAGGGGAUCUGCGGCAAUUGGGGGAACGCUGACCGGAGAACGCCGGGUGAUUGAACGAGGUUUUCGGAUCGUAAAGCUCUGUUGUUAAGGAAGCGGUACGUAACCAGAAAGGGACGGCUAACUACGUGCCAGCAGCCGCGGUAAUAC
rnacentral:rRNA from 1 species